UAAGACGUAGGGGGCGAGCGUUGUCCGGAUUUAUUGGGCGUAAAGGGUUCCUAGGCGGCUGAGAAAGUCAGGUGUGAAACCUCCAGGCUCAACCUGGAGACGCCACUUGAUACUGCUCUAGCUAGAGUCCGGUAGGGGAGCACGGAAUACCCGGUGUAGCGGUGAAAUGCUUAGAUAUCGGGUGGAACACCAGUGGCGAAGGCGGUGCUCUGGGCCGGAACUGACGCUGAAGAACGAAAGCGUGGGUAGCAAACAGGAUUAGAUACCCUGGUAGUCCACGCCGUAAACGUUGGGCACUAGGUGUGGGGACCUAUCGACGGUCUCCGUGCCGUAGCUAACGCAUUAAGUGCCCCGCCUGGGGAGUACGGCCGCAAGGCUA
rnacentral:rRNA from 1 species